AGCUUUGCGCAGUGGCAGUAUCAUAGCCCAUGAGGUGAAUCCGAGGCGUGAUUAUUGCUAGUUGAAAACUUUUCCCAAUACCCCGCCGUGAUGGCUUGAAAUAUAGUCAGCAUGGGCAAUUUUUGACGGUCUCCUGUGGGA
ensembl:snRNA U4 U4 spliceosomal RNA